rnacentral:rRNA from 1 species
UACAGAGGUCUCAAGCGUUUGUUCAGAUUCAUUGGGCGUAAAGGGUGCGUAGGCGGCGCGGUAAGUCGGGUGUGAAAUCUCGGAGCUUAACUCCGAAACUGCAUUCGAUACUGCCGUGCUUGAGGACUGGAGAGGAGACUGGAAUUUACGGUGUAGCGGUGAAAUGCGUAGAUAUCGUAAGGAAGACCAGUGGCGAAGGCGGGUCUCUGGACAGUUCCUGACGCUGAGGCACGAAGGCCAGGGGAGCAAACGGGG